CACACUGCUCAUGUCAGGGUCUUGUGGAGCUCAGGUGUCAGCAGGUGUCAGCAUGGGUGCAUCACGUGUUCCGCUGGGAGACCAGGCACGCUGCAUAGUCCCAGCCAUCUCUUUGUCUACCAGGCCCCGUCCUAGGAUCCACACUGGGCUGUCGAUGACUGUGAUUCUACUGGGGUCGAGGAAUGUGAAUGAGCUCAGCAUAGCUACCCACCUGGCCUCCGUUGCCCUUGUGUUCAGUGAGGGGACAUCAGCCUGGCUGUGAAGGCCCUUCCUGGGUGAUUCUAGAAGUGGCUGAGGGGUGGGUUGUUGCUGGGCUGGUUCCAUCCAUCCCUGAGGGCAGGUUCUCCCACAAACAGGGCACAGCUCACUGGGAUGACAGAAAGCAAUCUUCGGCCAAGCAGGGAAAUAAAGGAGCUGGGAUGGUUUACAGCUAUGCUUAAACUUCCGGGCAUCCAGCCGAGUGAGGUGGCUCAGGCCUGUAAUCCCAGGAGUUUGGGAGGCUGAGGCAGGUGGAUCGCUUGAGUCCAGGAGUUAGAUACCAGCCUAGGCAAUACGGGCAAAACCGCAUCUCUGAAAAAAAUACAAAAAUUAGCUGGGCGUGGUGGCAUGCCCCUGAAGACCCACCUACUUGGGAGGCUGAGGUGGGAGGAUCACUUGAGCCUGGGAGGCAGAGGUUGCAGAGAGCCAUGGUUGCGCUACUGCACUCCAGCUUGGGUGCGAGUGAGACCCUGCCUCAAAAAACAAACAAACAAACCAAAAAAACCUGAGAAGAAAAAAAUCUUCCAGGUAUUCACCUGUGUACCAAAGUUCAGCAGGCGAUGCUGUCCCCAUCAGUAUCCUCAGGGGCUAGCCUCUGCACCAGGUCCUGGUUCUGCCAUCCACAGCUUUGUGAGCAGGACUUGAGCCCAGGGGUUACUGCCUGGUGACCUUGGCAAGGGAGGAGCCCUCUAUGGUCUCCAGUGUUGCCAUCAGCAGAUGAGAGGUGACGGGUGCCCAAGCGCUGGCUUGCAGCUGCCACGAUGAAGGAUUGGCAUGCCUGCCCCCUGUUUCCUCCCCAGGUCUGCACAGCUCCCCCGCCUCGGCUGCGAGCUUGCCUCAGAGUUCUCAGGGCCUAGGAUGUUGGGGGUGCCCCUCAGCCCUGGGGGCCCUGUGGGUUCCACCUCUGUACAGAUUCAGGAAGGAUUUGAAGCCAGCAGAGAGAGUCCUUAGAAUGAGCAGGAAUCCACAUCCUAGUGUCCUGGUGUGACCCCUGCCCUGUGACUCCUCUUCAUAUGGUCCAAGGUCAGUUUCCUCAAGACAAAAUCAGAGACCAGUUGAGACUCCUACCCAUUGAGCAACGGAGAAAGUCAUUUUGAAUGGUUAGGAGAGUGGAGGCAUAUUCGGGCAUGGCCCCGGGCACCUCACCACCCAGCUGGGAAGGAAUCACCCCAGCUUCCUUCUCCCUGUGGAGAGGAGGGUUUGGGCCUUAAAUAUAGCACCCUAACUCUAAAGUUCCCCACAGUUUGGCUCUUAUUUCACCAGCUCUGGGAGCAGAGAUUAGACGCAUAUGAGUCUCUCUAGACCACAGGAAUAAAGCAGCAGUUUCAUACGGGCAUACAAGCACUUCCAGUGGCUUUAUCCUCUGGGAACAGUACAGAGAAGGGGCUUAAAAAGAGCGGCCCCCUGUUUCUCCCUCAGAUAGAGCACCCCAACUUUUACAGCUUCCACUUGAAAGACUGCAUCCUAAACCUCCUAGCUCUGGGGGCAAAGGGGACUGGCAUGAAUGUGUCU
rnacentral:lncRNA from 1 species